rnacentral:rRNA from 1 species
UGGGGAAUUUUGCGCAAUGGGCGAAAGCCUGAUCUAGCGAUGCCGCGUGAGUGACGAAGGCCCUAGGGUCGUAAAGCUCUUUCGCCAGGGAUGAUAAUGACAGUACCUGGUAAAGAAACCCCGGCUAACUCCGUGCCAGCAGCCGCGGUAAUACGGAGGGGGUUAGCGUUGUUCGGAAUUACUGGGCGUAAAGCGCGCGUAGGCGGACUAUUAAGUCAGGGGUGAAAUCCCGGGGCUCAACCCCGGAACUGCCUUUGAUACUGGUAGUCUAGAGUUCGAGAGAGGUGAGUGGAAUUCCAAGUGUAGAGGUGAAAUUCGUAGAUAUUUGGAGGAACACCAGCGGCGAAGGCGGCUCACUGGCUCGAUACUGACGCUGAGGUGCGAAAGUGUGGGGAGCAAACAGGAUUAGAUACCCCUGUAGUCC